CGCGUAGGCGGAUGUUACAGUCAGGCGUGAAAUUCCUGGGCUCAACCUGGGGGCUGCGUUUGAUACGUGAUGUCUGGAGUUCGGAAGAGGGUCGUGGAAUUCCCAGUGUAGAGGUGAAAUUCGUAGAUAUUGGGAAGAGCACCGGUGGCGAAGGCGGCGACCUGGUCCGAUACUGACGCUGAGGCGCGAAAGCGUGGGGAGCAAACAGGAUUAGAUACCCUGGUAGUCCACGCUGUAAACGAUGUGCGCUGGAUGUUGGGUGACAUAGUCAUUCAGUGUCGUAGCUAACGCGAUAAGCGCACCGCCUGGGAGUACGGCCGCAAGGUUGAA
rnacentral:rRNA from 1 species